rnacentral:tRNA from 1 species
AUCGCCAUCGUCUAGUGGUUAGGACUCAACAUUUUCAAUGUUGCAACACCAGUUCGAAUCUGGUUGGCGAUGCCA